rfam:Dorea sp. 42_8 Ley3_66761_scaffold_6167, whole genome shotgun sequence.
GGGCUUGUACUGGUUUCGACGGGGGUCUGGAAGUUGGAGAAGCCAUCCGUAGCGGGACACUACGUUAAAAGUUCCACUUAAAUAUAAACGCAGACAAUACAGAAUUAGCGUACGCAGCCUAAUUAGGCCGCAGUCGGCCCCGGAUCAUCCGCUGUCCGGGUCACCGGCUUCAAACAGGCGGAGCACUUCGUUUCCAAAGCUUUGAGGAGAUGGAAGAACUUAUGAAGCUACUAAAGUGAGGAACCUGUCAUUAGGUGCCGCAUGGAGGGAAUGUUAAUAUAAUGACUGUGAUGGGAGAUGCUCGAAUGGAUGGGCUUUCGGACGCGGGUUCAACUCCCGCCAGGUCCACUA